UGCAUAAACAAGUGCCGGAUUAGAGAGGGACUGUAUCUUUUCAAACGAAUCCUGAUGACAAUGAGUGAUAUUUGUGGAUACUCGACAACAUUCCAGUGCAGUAAUACUCAGCAGAGAUCUGUAUGCAGGACGGCGCACUGCGGCACUGGUUGCUUAGCUUAGUCAGCGGCUGGAACUGGAGACCGUCGAUGAGUGAAAGUGCAGACCGUGGCGUCCGCGAUCCAAACUCUGGGAGAGUUUACUAGUAGUCUUCAGAGGUGCAUUCCCAGCGUGCUGUGAGCUGCAUCAGGGUGGAUGGCGCGCACAUGGACUCACUGCUGCACACUACCCGUGACAGGGACAACGAACACGAUCGACUCUGAUGUAGACUACUAUUCCGACUCCGGUAGGUCAACCGUCUCCAGGCGUACUAAGAUCAUGAAGGCCAGAGAAUCACCAAAACCUUUCAAGCAAACGGUCAGCAAAUGAAUGAAGUGCAAUGAUGGGAUGGAAGCAAGGACGUGAAGACCAGACUUUGCUGGACAGCUAGAAGACGUGUUAUGACCAAUGCCGUAAUACAGCCGAGUAGUACACUGUCAGUGGCCAGGUCUCACACCGAGGAGCAGUACAAGCAAGCAUGGACUGAUUGUCAGUGUUCAAGUACAGGGAAUCACCAUGCAACACAGAACAUGCAGUUUGUCCACCAACAAGUGCAAUGUCAACUGAUAGCCGAGUAGCAAGACGGAUAUGUGGACGUCAGUGCAGAACGCCUUUGUGAUGGGCAAUGUAGCCUUGCAAUUGCAGCUGGUGGUGCUGGUGGUUGGAGGCAGGGUAGUCCCAGCAGAGUAGAUCAUGCGAAGAUCGAGUCUUGCUCAUCCUCCGGGUGGAUACCUGGCAGUGCAAGAAAGCUCCUUGGCACAUCACACAAUGUGGGUCACAAGAAUGACGCUCAGCAGAAAUAAAUCCAUAUGCUGCCACUUUCUCUUGCUGGUUGUGCUGCUGCAAGUAUCAACCGGUUGUGAACUGUUUUUCCUCUCGCCCUCUCCUCAUCAAAUAAUUGUUUUAUUGUGAACUAGCCUCUAGCGUGGCAGGUUAGCAUCCCUCUGCUCUUGUGGCUCACAACCAGCAUCACCCACUCCCGACUUUCUGUCUGUCUUUUCCUCACACUGUGUCUGUCCGUCUGUCUGUCUGUCCGUCUGUCCGUCCGUCUGCCUCUCUCUCUCUCUCUCUCUCUCUCUCUCUCUCCCUCUCCCUCUCUGUCUCUCUCUUUCCCUCUCUCUCUCUGCUGGUCUGUGUGUGUGUGUCUCUCUCUUCUCUCUCUCUCUCUCUUUCUCUCUCUCUCUCUCUCUCUCUCUCUCUCUCUCUCUCUCUCUCUCUCUCUCUCUUUCUCUCUAUCCCUCUAUCUUUCCCUCCCUCUCUCGCUCUAUCUAUCCCUCCCUUUCUCGAUCUUUCUCUCUAUCCCUCCGUCCCUCUCUCGAAAUCCUAGAAUAAGUCUCCCAGUAUGAUAGUAGGGAGGUUUAGUCCCACGUAAUCCGUGGGUACUUUACGUGUGUGUACCACGUGAUACUCAGUGACCCGCGUACAGACGUUUUCUGAUUCACGACAUAUCGUGUAUGGAGGCUCACCCACGUUCCGCCAGAACGUGGGUGAAAAUCAGAAUGGAGCGCAUUGUGCGAGCUGUGAGGGUGCUCAGCUGAAGAAGUUUCCGAAGCACGAAAUCAAAAUAUUGGAUGAGCUUCUUAGGCCGGGGUAGCUUCGUCUUUGACCAGGUUUUGGCCUUUAGCUUCUUGCUUUUGUUUGUUCCGUGUGACUAAACACAACAUUGCAACGUGGGUGCCCUUCAUCCACUUUACGUGGAUCACCCACGUACGCGUUUCCGUUACGUGGGAACUAAACCUCCCUAGUGUCCUGUAGCUAUGCGGUCUGUCUGAUGUUUCUGUAGGAGUUGCAUUUUGGUAUAAAGUAUAUUUUUCACAGUAAAAGAGUAUUUAUUUGUAGAGCUUGUGUGGAUACAGAUCCCUAGGUUCAAACCCCAAGAUGGGCAGUUAGUUACAUUUUUCUCUCCUUGCGUAUUUGUAUCUGCAUGUUAUUACCCUUGCCGUGAGUCGCUCGUGAGUCGUGUAUGGCUAAACCCGUAUUUCCCCACUUUACCCGUAUGACUGUCUGUUGUGAACUGUGAUUGGUUGCUAGUAUAAUGUUCCAGAAUGUUCCAGAGCUGUGAACUGUGAUUGGUUAAUCAUGCUAAUGUUUCUAGAAUUUCGUCGGCGACUGGUUUUCGUAGAUUGCUGAUUGGUUAAUGACCUAAAACAUGGCUGCCGGUUGCCGGACUUUUGUUCCCUUGCUUUCUUUUUUCUUGUUGCCUUUCUAUCUCUUUGCAUUCCAAGUGUGUAUAAUAUUUCUUUCCUGAUAACUUCUAUAUCUCUGUUCAAAUUGUCUGUUGGUUGGCGGAGUUGGCAGAAACGUUUGA